GUCCAGGGAUGGGAAUCGAAUCCACAGUGUUCCGCUUACCGGGCAGAUGCCAUGUCCACUAGGCUACCCUGGA